GAUAAGCAGGUUUUCCGAGCAGUCCGACCUAAGGCGUAAGCUAAGGCGGGCUGCCGAUAGGGUGGAACUGGAAACGGUUUUGCCUCCCGCAUUUGGAAAGGAAAACCGGUCGAUAGACC
rnacentral:ncRNA from 2 species